rnacentral:rRNA from 1 species
GACGAACGCUGGCGGCGUGCUUAACACAUGCAAGUCGAACGGUGAAGCGCCUUCCUUUUUGGUGGGUGUGGAUGAGUGGCGAACGGGUGAGUAACACGUGAGUAACCUGCCCCCUUCUUCUGGAUAACCGCAUGAAAGUGUGGCUAAUACGGGAUAUUCUGGGUCUGUCGCAUGAUGGGUCUGGGAAAGAUAUUGUUUCGGUGGGGGAUGGGCUCGCGGCCUAUCAGCUUGUUGGUGGGGUGAUGGCCUACCAAGGCGGUGACGGGUAGCCGGCCUGAGGGUGGGGACGGUCAGACUGGGACUGGGACCCGGCCCAGUCUGGUACGGGGGGCAGGGGUAGGGAAGACUGCAGGAGGGAGGCUAGCCUAAUGCAGCGGAGCCGGGUGAGGGAUGGAGGCGUUCGGGUUGUGAGCCUCUUUGGCAAGAAAAGCAGGCCUGCCUCGUUUGUGGGUGGGUUCGGGGUAGAUGGAUAAGACGCCGCCGAAAACUGCG